GGUUUUCAGUCUCUCUGUGCCAUCUGUUCUUCUCUUCCUCCAUCUGCUGGGGUAUAGCUGCUGGCUUGAAUGUCUUGGCUGAUUUGCAUGACAUUUACAAGAAGGGAAGAAUGAAUCCAGAAAAGCAGAAUCCCUCACACAGAAUUCAAGGAUGGAGAGGUCAUUGCUGGCUUCUUGUAGGAGAGAGUAUUUGAGUUGGACCUUGAACAAUGGGGAAACGGUUGUACCUGGACCAGUACCAAAAGAUGAAUGGAGCUCAUAUAUAGAAGUAUUGUGAAGCAAAGCAGCGGUGGUAUUUUAUCAACCUAGCCCCUAUGCACCAGCAGAGAGCCUGAAUCUUACCAUUCUGGCAUUCCAGGAGGGAUCCACACAGAACGAGCCUCACAUGAUGGCAGUGACCUGGUUUCCCAAGCUGACCCCUGACAGAGCUAGGGCCAGACUGGUUCUGUGCUUCCUGCCCGUGCCCUUACCUUCCAAAAAGCCCGUUGUCUGUCAUUUUCACAUUUCUCCAAAUGUACCUUUAUCAGCUGUCUUUGGUCUUGGCCCUGGGUUUGUUUGUGGCUUCUUUUGAUGUAAUUAAACCACUCUCUGUGGAUCUGCCAUGCUCUUUCUUCCUCCAAUGAAGAGUGAUAGGGAUGAGGAGAGGUCAUAAAACUGCCGGAUAAUUAGUGUGUAGUCAGCGAGACGUAGGCCUGCCUGUAUCUAUGCAAGCAUCUCUGUACAGGAGCGGUUUGUUUUCUCCCGCUCAGAGCUUGUUCCAACGCCACAGGUUGUUUUCCUGUGGCCAUCUGUGAAGAAUCUGGUGUGCUGGCAUGGGCAGGGAGAAUAAUGUGGACAGAGGGGACAGUGGAGGCAAAGAUACAGAAGUAGAAACAUCAAAGGGGCAAUAUCGACUGUUUUAGCUUGACCGUAGCAUAGGCAAUG